rnacentral:rRNA from 1 species
AUUGAACGCUGGCGGCAUGCUUUACACAUGCAAGUCGAACGGUAACAUAAGAAAGCUUGCUUUCUUGAUGACGAGUGGCGAACGGGUGAGUAAUACAUCGGAACGUACCCUGUAGUGGGGGAUAACUACUCGAAAGAGUGGCUAAUACCGCAUACAACCUGAGGGUAAAAGUGGGGGACCGCAAGGCCUCACGCUAUAGGAGCGGCCGAUGGAAGAUUAGGUAGUUGGUGGGGUAAAGGCCUACCAAGCCGACGAUCUUUAGCGGGUCUGAGAGGACGAUCCGCCACACUGGGACUGAGACACGGCCCAGACUCCUACGGGAGGCAGCAGUGGGGAAUUUUGGACAAUGGGCGAAAGCCUGAUCCAGCAAUGCCGCGUGAGUGAAGAAGGCCUUCGGGUUGUAAAGCUCUUUUGUUUGGGAAGAAAUCCUUAAGGCUAAUAUCCUUGGGGGAUGACGGUACCAAAAGAAUAAGCACCGGCUAACUACGUGCCAGCCGCCGCUGUAA